rnacentral:rRNA from 1 species
AACGAACGCUGGCGGCAUGCCUAACACAUGCAAGUCGAACGAGACCUUCGGGUCUAGUGGCGCACGGGUGCGUAACGCGUGGGAACCUGCCCUUAGGUUCGGAAUAACUCCCCGAAAGGGGUGCUAAUACCGGAUAAUGUCUUCGGACCAAAGAUUUAUCGCCUUUGGAUGGGCCCGCGUUGGAUUAGCUAGUUGGUAGGGUAAAAGCCUACCAAGGCGACGAUCCAUAGCUGGUCUGAGAGGAUGAUCAGCCACACUGGGACUGAGACACGGCCCAGACUCCUACGGGAGGCAGCAUUGGGGAAUAUUGGACAAUGGGCGAAAGCCUGAUCCAGCAAUGCCGCGUUAGUGAUGAAGGCCUUAGGGUUGUAAAGCUCUUUUACCCGGGAUGAUAAUGACAGUACCGGGAGAAUAAGCUCCGGCUAACUCCGUG